GUAACACAUGCAAGUCGAACGCUCUCUUCGGAGAGAGUGGCAGACGGGUGAGUAACGCGUGGGAAUCUACCCAGUACUACGGAACAACAGUUAGAAAUGACUGCUAAUACCGUAUACGCCCUCCGGGGGAAAGAUUUAUCGGUAUUGGAUGAGCCCGCGUUUGAUUAGCUAGUUGGUGAGGUAAUGGCUCACCAAGGCGACGAUCAAUAGCUGGUCUGAGAGGAUGAUCAGCCACACUGGGACUGAGACACGGCCCAGACUCCUACGGGAGGCAGCAGUGGGGAAUAUUGGACAAUGGGCGCAAGCCUGAUCCAGCCAUGCCGCGUGUGUGAUGAAGGCCCUAGGGUUGUAAAGCACUUUCAACGGUGAAGAUAAUGACGGUAACCGUAGAAGAAGCUCCGGCUAACUUCGUGCCAGCAGCCGCGGUAAUACGAAGGGAGCUAGCGUUGUUCGGAAUUACUGGGCGUAAAGCGCACGUAGGCGGACACUUAAGUCAGGGGUGAAAUCCCGGGGCUCAACCCCGGAACUGCCUUUGAUACUGGGUGUCUAGAGUUCGAGAGAGGUGAGUGGAAUUCCGAGUGUAGAGGUGAAAUUCGUAGA
rnacentral:rRNA from 1 species